AAUGUGCCUUCUGCUACUGCCACUCUUAUUUUACUAUGGCCCCAGUCAUCCUCACUUUGCAUUAAAACCAGGGACCUUGACGCAGUUAAUGUGCCUUCUGCUACUGCCUCUCUUAUGUAACUAUGGAGCCCACCCAUCCUCACUUUGCAUUAAAACAGAGUCCUUGGGGCAGUCAUUGUGCUUAAAUGUCACUUUCCUGAUGUUAUUACAGGACCCACGCAUCUUGACUUUGCAUUAAAACAGGAUAUUUGGGGCAGUUAAUAUAAGUAGUGCCUCUAUGUCUUUUAGUUACUAUAGAACCUACAUAUCUUUACUUUUUAUUAAAACAGGUGAUACACUAAUAAGUUCUACAAAAUAAUAUAGCAAUGAUUUAUAUCCUGAAAAAAAAA